ACAAGAAAGUUUUCAUAGAAAAUUGUACAAUUAGAUAUCUUGAGGUUAUCAUGUUGCAGCUUGAAAGGAGCAUCUUUACAGGUGUACCUUAUAAUUUUUCUAAUUACAACAAACUUUUCAGGUUGAACUACUGCUGAAUUGUCAGAUCAACAGAGAUUUGGAGUUUGUAAUAUAGUAAUUUAUUCAGAUAGAUUUGUGAAGUAUAUUGACAAACUGCAGUAGUUGUACACAUUGUAAAAUGAUGAAAAAAAGCAGUGCAGCUUAAACAUGAGUGAAGGAAAAUGUUCAGGAGUUUGGUAAAUAUAUAUUUUAAAAAAAAAACUGGUAAUUAAUACCAUAGAUUUUUGUCUUUAGAUUGCUUCUAUGUUACUAUAAGACCUAUCUCUAGAUUAUAAAUUAUGUUUGCAUUUAUGGUCAUACCGGUCCUAUUUGAGUGGAUCAAUUGCUUUGGCCUCCGAACACCCGGGGCGAUUUGUUGGGGUCUUUCUGUGCAAUGUGAGGAGUAGAAGAAAGAGAGGACGACUAGGGACAACCUCUGUGUAUUUCAUGUUGGUGUACAGGUUGGACAUAUUAAUCUAAAUCACCAUUCAGUUUGCUGACAAAAUGCAGCAUACUCCAUCAUUUCUGUGUUGCAAGAAUACGCGCUAUCAUGCCAUAAUAAUGUAAUCUAUAGUUCUACAACUCUACAAAGGAAUGAUCGAGUAUCGCGGUGUCCUACAUCUGACUGUUACAGACACCCAGCAAGCUUCAGUGUUCGCUGUGGACCUCAAUAAGACUGUCUUGGUAGCUUCUCUGAUUUGCUGUGUACAUGUAUUUUGUAGGUAAACUGAAUGUAUUAUCUGUGUAUAGUGUACAGCUCUGUACUCCAUUUAUUAUUAUACAGAAUGUAUAAGAUUAUAUUGUACAUUUUACACGUGACAAAUAAAGCGAAGCCUAGGGGCUCCUUUAUAUAAACAC
rnacentral:misc_RNA from 1 species